rnacentral:rRNA from 1 species
UUUAAAUGGCCGCAGUAUAUUAACUGUGCAAAGGUAGCAUAGUCAUUAGUUUUUUAAUUGAAAGCUGGUAUGAAUGGUUGGACGAAAUAUUAACUGUUUCAUAAAAAUUUAUAAUAAAAUUUUAUUUUUUAGUUAAAAAGCUAAAAUUAAUUUAAAAGACGAGAAGACCCUAUAAAUCUUUAUAUUUAAUUAAUUAUAAUUUAUAUGAAUUAUUUUAUUAUAAUUAUUAUAAUAUUUUAUUGGGGUGAUAUUAAAAUUUAAUGAACUUUUAAUUAUAAUAAAUUUCAUUAAUUUAUGAAAAAUUGAUCCAUUAUUAAUGAUUAAAAAAUUAAGUUACUUUAGGGAUAACAGCGUAAUUUUUUUGGGAAGUUCAUAUUUAUAAAAAAGAUUGCGACCUCGAUGUUGGAUUAAGAAAAUUUUUAGGUGUAGUAGCUUAAAUUUUGAGUCUGU